rnacentral:tRNA from 2 species
GCGGGAGUAACUCAGCGGUAGAGUUCCUGCCUUCCAAGCAGGCAGUCGCGGGUUCGAAUCCCGUCUCCCGCUCCA